UCCAGAGCUUGCUCUGGUGAGAGUGGCGCACGGGUGAGUAACGCGUGGAUAACCUGCCCUGGUAUCCGGAAUAACAUCUCGAAAGGGGUGCUAAUACCGGAUAAGCCCACGGGGUCUUCGGACUCUGCGGGAAAAGGUGGCCUCUGAAUAUGCUACCGUAUCAGGAUGGGUCCGCGUACCAUUAGCUAGUUGGCGGGGUAAUGGCCCACCAAGGCAUCGACGGGUAGCUGGUCUGAGAGGACGAUCAGCCACACUGGAACUGAGACACGGUCCAGACUCCUACGGGAGGCAGCAGUGGGGAAUUUUGCGCAAUGGGGGAAACCCUGACGCAGCAACGCCGCGUGAGUGAUGAAGGCUUUCGGGUCGUAAAGCUCUGUCAGUAGGGAAGAAGUGUAAGGGUGCUAAUACCAUCUUUACUUGACGGUACCUACAAAGGAAGCACCGGCUAACUCCGUGCCAGCAGCCGCGGUAAUACGGAGGGUGCAAGCGUUGUUCGGAUUUAUUGGGCGUAAAGCGCGUGUAGGCGGUUUCUUAAGUCUGAUGUGAAAGCCCUGGGCUCAACCCAGGAAGUGCAUUGGAUACUGGGAGACUUGAAUACGGGAGAGGGUAGUGGAAUUCCUAGUGUAGGAGUGAAAUCCGUAGAUAUUAGGAGGAACACCGGUGGCGAAGGCGGCUACCUGGACCGAUAUUGACGC
rnacentral:rRNA from 1 species